AACGCACAUUGCGCCCGCCAGUAUUCUGGCGGGCAUGCCUGUCCGAGCGUCAUUUCAACCCUCAAGCCCCCGGGCUUGGUGUUGGAGAUCGGCGAGCCCUCCGGGGCGCGCCGUCUCCCAAAUAUAGUGGCGGUCCCGCUGUAGCUUCCUCUGCGUAGUAGCACACCUCGCACUGGGAAACAGCGUGGCCACGCCGUGAAACCCCCCACUUCUGAAAGGUUGACCUCGGAUCAGGUAGGAAUACCCGCUGAACUUAA
rnacentral:misc_RNA from 1 species